GCGGGGCUGGUUUUCCUCUCCGGUUGGUGCCGCUGAAUUAUUUGCCUUUCUCCGGGUACAGCUGGCACGAGGCGCCCGCAGCCUCCCCCGCCCCUCCGCGCGCCGCCGACCGUGCCCUUCACCCGACCUUCGCCCCCGCGGCCCCCCCGGGGUGCCCGGACCCCCCCCCCCCUCUUCCACAGGGGGAUUUUUCUCCAGGAGCUCCGAGGGUGACGCCUGGAGCCCCGGGAUGCUCCGGGAGCCGCUGCCCGUGGGAACACGUGGAGCUGGAUGGAGCCACCGCCACAAACCCCAGCGCCGGGCCCGGGAGGAGAGCGGGGUGGUGGAGGAAUGAGGGCUGUGUCAGAUCCCACAGUUUCGCGGCGCUGGAGCAGCCGGGAAUGUCGGGAUGGAGCCGCCGCGGCUCCAGCGAGCAGGAUCCAAGCGGGAAGAGCCGAACGGCGGAGAUUUACGGCGCCGGCUCCGCGCAGCCCCCCCCGGCCAUUUGGCACGGCAGCUGCUGCCGGGGAACUUCAAUGCCAAAAUAAAUUAAACGGGAUAAAA